CAGCAGUAUGUGACAGUAUGGGAAUUUUGUAAAAACUGAGGAAAAGCAGAGAAAAGAGAACUUCAACAGACCCUAACACAAGAUUAGAAAUUAAUUUAAAGUUUUGGUCAAAAUUUCCAGCAAUUUGUGGAUUGAAUACU
rnacentral:lncRNA from 1 species